rnacentral:rRNA from 1 species
AUUGAACGCUGGCGGCAUGCCUUACACAUGCAAGUCGAACGGUAACGCGGGGCAACCUGGCGACGAGUGGCGAACGGGUGAGUAAUGUAUCGGAACGUGCCCAGUUGCGGGGGAUAACUGCUCGAAAGAGCAGCUAAUACCGCAUACGACCUGAGGGUGAAAGCGGGGGAUCGCAAGACCUCGCGCAAUUGGAGCGGCCGAUAUCAGAUUAGGUAGUUGGUGGGGUAAAGGCUCACCAAGCCAACGAUCUGUAGCUGGUCUGAGAGGACGACCGGCCACACUGGGACUGAGACACGGACCAGACGCCUACGGGAGGCAGCGGGGGGGAAUUUUGGACAAUGGACGCAAGUCUGAUCCAGCCAUGCCGCGGGCGGGAAGAAGUCCUUCGGGUUGUAAACCGCUUUUGUCAGGGAAGAAACGCUCUGGGUUAAUACCUCGGGGUAAUGACGGUACCUGAAGAAUAAGCACCGGCUAACUCUGUGCCAGCAGCCGCCGUAAAAC